GCUUUCCUUACACGGGUUCGAUCUGGCCAGCGAGCAACAUACGGUACGCGACACCGCGUUUCUGAUGGAACAACUCACGCUUCGCGAAGAGCUGGACGAUAUCGAACAAUCAAAAGACGACGUGCGGCUGGAAAGCUUCAUCAAACGCGUACAAAAGAUGUUUGAUGCUCGUCUUCAGCAAAUGGUGGAACAGUUGGACAACGCCGCGUGGGACGCGGCGGCGGAUACGGUGCGCAAACUGCGGUUUCUCGAUAAACUGCGAAGCAGCGCAG
rnacentral:misc_RNA from 1 species